rnacentral:rRNA from 1 species
UGGGGAAUAUUGGACAAUGGGCGAAAGCCUGAUCCAGCAAUGCCGCGUGGAUGAAGAAGGUCUUCGGAUUGUAAAGUCCUUUUGGCGGGGACGAUGAUGACGGUACCCGCAGAAGAAGCCCCGGCUAACUUCGUGCCAGCAGCCGCGGUAAUACGAAGGGGGCUAGCGUUGCUCGGAAUGACUGGGCGUAAAGGGCGCGUAGGCGGUUUGUACAGUCAGACGUGAAAUUCCCGGGCUCAACCUGGGGACUGCGUUUGAGACGUACAGGCUUGAGUGUGAAAGAGGGUCGUGGAAUUCCCAGUGUAGAGGUGAAAUUCGUAGAUAUUGGGAAGAACACCGGUGGCGAAGGCGGCGACCUGGUUCAUUACUGACGCUGAGGCGCGAAAGCGUGGGGAGCAAACAGGAUUAGAUACCCCCGUAGUCC